ensembl:lncRNA
GACCUCCCUUUCUUUCUAUCUAAUGCCCUUAAAAAAAAAGGAAAGAAAAGAGAGAAGGAAGAAAAGGAGACGAUGACUUGAAGAGUUACAGGAUUUUGGAGCCAGAGAUGCUCUUUAAGCAGUGGUCAUCUAGCUCAACCCUUAUAUUUUCAGAUGAUGGUGACGGUAAUGAUGGCUGGAAAUAACUAUAACACUUAGCAUUUUUGGUGACUUACUAUGCUAAGUGCUUUACAUGUAUUUCCCGUAUGAUACUUGUGGUAGCCUUGGGAGGUAGCUACUAUUAGUGCUAUUUUUAUAGAUAAGGAAACUGAGGUCCAGAAAGAUUGGAUAACUAUAUUCGGGUUAAGAGGAUGCUGAGCAGCUAUUUGUGCAAAGAGAUGAAGCGUCUUGCUUAGUCAAGGUCAAGUUUUCUGGUUAGAGGCAGAACGUGAGCAGACUCCAAGUCUCCUGACCUUGAGCUCAGGGAGCCUGUAUUUUUGUUUUCACCUGGAAAUUUAUUCUCGCUGGUCAUUUUUGUCUCAUUUCUCGUUCAGCCCCUUUUAAUUUCAGUGAAACCGAAUGAAGNNNNNNNNNNNNNNNNNNNNNNNNNNNNNNNNNNNNNNNNNNNNNNNNNNNNNNNNNNNNNNNNNACAGUUUAUUUUAGGCAGCCUUCCCAGACCGACUGGGAAUGUAGCAGAAGGCCUGAGAACCAGGAAGUGACACAGACCUGUUUAUACCAUCCCACUUGUGGGCCUUUGGAAAGCAGUCCACAGAGAUGGUAAAAAGUAAACAUAACUGCUUUAGCCAGUUCUCUUGGGUUUGCUAUUUUUGACCUGGAGGAGGUGUUUCCUGCACAGCUAUGAUGAGUACAUAUUUGAAAACCUAAAUCUAGCACCUAAACAUCCCCAUGAAUGAAGGUAGAUAGAUAUUUAUUUCUUGCUGCCGACAGCAGCAUUCAGAGGGUCUUGACAGACAAAAUUAUCGCUAUUUAUUUCUCCUCUCUCCCUCUGCCAUCCUCUUGGUGAAUUGUUCUUCCUCUUCUUUUUCUUCCUUUGUAAUUAGCACUAUUCAUGCAACGCUGUCCAGAGAGCUCACCAAAUCUGUGUACAGUCUUCAAGGUCCAGCUCAAAGCUUUCUCUUUGACUGCCCCCCCACCUCCCAACCAGAAGCCUUCAUUCUUAAUUUCCUCUGUGUUCUCACGCCACUUUUUAAAAUUAAAAACAAAACCUAGUAACAGUUUCACAGCGUUGUAUAGAUAAACAUGCAGUUCCUCUCACUAGAUUGUGAAUUCCUUGAGAGUAGGAGCUGUGUCCCACUUCAUCUCUCUGUUCACCCAAGCCUUGCACUGAAGACAGCCAGUAAAUAUUUGCUGAAUUGCAGUAUAGUCACUGCAAACACAGAGCCCUAAGAAAUCAGAUUUAGCAAAUCAGCUUCCCAGAGUGUAUUUGCCAAGUGGGCAUUGAAGCCUGCUCCACUCGGCUCUGAUGGGAACCAAGCAGAGGGGUGUGAUGACACAUAGAUGUAUCUCUGGGCUCCAGGAACCAAUUUCAGUCACUUCUGCCAAGCAUCUGUUUUGCUACCUGGCAAAACUUUAGGACUUAUGUACCCAUUUCCCCUCAUGUUUUAUAUCUGCUGCUACUGUGCCAUCUUGUAUUUCCUACAGGAGUUAUAUAUACCUUUGGGUUUAUCUUUUUUUCUCUUUCAGUGAACAAGUAAAUGUUGAGCACUUUGGGGCAUAGACAGAGGCAGAGUUGGUUGUCUCUGUAGGCAUUUACUACCUGCAGUAAAUGCAGCAUUCAGCAGUUAAGUCACUGUGAGCAGGCCUUGGGGAAGGAUACGAUGGGUUCUCCCAGUCUUCCAGGCAGUGAUACUCUGGGUUCAGAAGAGCCUGUCAUACUUGUGGGCUCAACUGAUGAGUCUUCCCAGAGGAGAUGCAAAUAAGCUUGACCUUGUAUUUGGAAAAAAGAGCAGGGAGCCCUUUGCAGUAGGAAAGCAGGAGGAGGGAAGACUUCGAGGUCCCUUCAGUUCCAUGUAUCUGUAAAGUGAGGGUAGUGGCACCUAUAUAAUGAGGUAGUGAGUGUGUGUAUGUGCAUGUGUGUAUGUGUCUCAGACAUGUAAGCUCUGUGUCCUUAUCCUUUGCUACAAUAUAUUCGGGCUAGAAAACCUAGGUUCCCUGAGACACAAAUAACAUUUCAGUAUAUUUACAUACAAGAUUAUUAACAUUGAGGGGAGGGAAUGUUAAGUUCCUUAAAAGAAAUAUUUUUAGCACUUUAUGGGCGAGACUUUUGGAGGUUCGCUUGAACUCACUGGCUUUUCUUUUAUCUAAACUAACUUUGUGUUUUGAGCCUAUUCUCAGGGCAUACAUUUCCAGCCCAGCUGAAGUGGUGACCUUUGGCAGUCUGGUGGGGGCUCAGUCACAGGCUGUUAGAGCAGGAAGGGGCCUUCGCCAGCACUAAUUUGUGGGCCCAGUAUUCCACACACUGGAGUUCCCGUUGUGGCUCAGGGGCUAAUGAACCCGACUAGUAUCCAUGAGGAUGUGGGUUCAAUCCCUGGCCUCACUCAGUGGGUUAAGGAUCUGGCAUUGCUAUGAGCUGUGGUGUAGAUCGCAGACGUGCUCUUGGACCUGGUGCUGCUGUGGCUGUGAUGUAGGCCCGAAGCUACAGCUCUAAUUUGACCCCUAGCCUGGGAACUUCCAUAUACCGCAUGUGUGGCCCUAAAAAGACAAAAAGACCAAAAAAAAAAAAAAAAAAAAAA